AUGAUUUCUUGCAGUUGUGAUUCAUUAACUCGAGGCCUAAUAGUAAUUCUCUUAAACAUCUUCCAUCACCGUUUGCCCCAACAUGUCCCCACUCUGUUCUAUUGUGAGGCGGUGGCACCACUGGCAACCUGUGUGGUCUCCCGAGAGGGGCCCGGAGGAGGUGGACAGGUCUCCCGGGCAGCUAGAAACUGCCCAAUGGUGUGUCCACUCCCCCACCCCCGCCCAAGCCUGGAGCCUGGCCCCUCCCCCCUCCAGCUGGCCUUUUCAGGCGAUGCUCCCUUUUCUCCCAGAGGAGGGCUCGGUGCCUGUCCCCAAAUGCCUGUGGCCGCCUUCAAGAGGCCAGAUGGUGCAAAGGUGAAGGUGCGGCUGGGGCUUCCGGGAAAAGAAACCCUUCAGACGAGCAAACACGAUUUAUGGAGGGGAUGGAACAGCGCAUCUCACAGAGACCUAAGAAGAGACGGGCCGUCUGGAAAAUGAGGUGGGCAGCAGAUGGAAAUGGUUUCCAUUGUCUUUCCAAGGAGCCAGGGGGUCUCCGAUCUGCCACUGUUUCUGCUACUUCCCCUCUUAGGGGGGAUAGUCCUUAUUUUGAAUUCUUCAUGGCUUUGGCUUGUAUCGGCUGUGCCCUGAUGUUUUAGAACCGAAUAUUCUUUCAAGUAGCAUCUUCUUUCUCCACUGAACCUCUUGUCUCAAUCCCAGAUUCCUGAGGUUGGCACAGCCUCAGUCCCACGUGUAUCUCUGGUCCAGUUGGCAGCAGCUUGGAG
ensembl:lncRNA